rnacentral:lncRNA from 1 species
AUGAUGGCUUUAGAAGGGAUCUUCUAUCUGAAAAACCCUGCCCCUCUCUGUGGCUUCCACACCUAGGCCUCUUCAUUCAUUUCCUGCUUCUGAAGGCCUCUGAGGGAUUUAAACCAACUGCAGCCUUUCUUUACAUCUCUGAACAUGGCUUAAGUUGUACAAAGGGGCAGUGAGAGGUCACACUCUGCUGGUGAGCCUGCCGCUGUGCUAAAAUUGCCUAGAAGUAAGAUGAUCACAUUCUUCGUUGUCUGUUUGGUCUCCAACUUGAAACUACUGACAAACAGGUAAAUACAUGAUGACGAUGGCUGCCACCAUGA